UUGGAACAAGGGCAAAUCCGUACGAAAGUCGGAGACGCAAAGCCACGGGCCUACUUCAUCCGGGAGGGAUGUCAGGGCAGCCGGGCCGCUCAA
rfam:Paenibacillus riograndensis SBR5 isolate SBR5(T) genome assembly, chromosome: I